GGCUGUUGCAAAUUGUGUCAUUACAUAAUCUGUCCAGCAAAAGGUGCUCCGAUGGCAUUGUUUACAAUGCUGUCAAGCAUGGUUGGGACCCCCAUCACCUCUUGAUCACAACAGCUACAAGAGACAGAGGGAAAGUGACCAGCUGACAUUCAUUUUCAGCCAGAGUGGUCAUUUUACAAUGACGAGAAAAAUGGUUGCUUUGCUGCCAGCAUGUUGGGGCCAUAGAAGAUGAGGAAGUCUAUUUUAAGCAAACACUAAGCAAUUCAACACAGCAGCUGCCAAUCCAAGCAACUGUAGUAUGAUGGCAGUGAGACAUGCAUUGUUGUUUAUAUUUAUACUUAUUUAUAAUAAAGUUCAUGUUUAAACUGUAAAACAUCAAGUUUCAAUUACAUUUCUCUGUCAUAAGGGUUUAAUAAUGAAAUAUGUUAAGGAAUCAUU